AGUGAACGUUGGCGGCGUGGAUUAGGCAUGCGAGUCGAGCGAGAACCGUAGCAAUACGGGGACAGCGGCGAAAGGGACAGUAAUAUGUAGGUACCUACCCUCGGGUCCGGGAUAGCUGCGGGAAACUGCAGGUAAUACCGGAUGACAUCUCCGGAUCAAAGGUGUGAUUCCGCCCGGGGAGGGGCCUGCAUCCUAUUAGCUAGUUGGCGGGGUAACGGCCCACCAAGGCGACGAUGGGUAGCGGGUGUGAGAGCACGACCCGCGUCAUUGGGACUGAGACACUGCCCAGACACCUACGGGUGGCUGCAGUCGAGAAUCUUCGGCAAUGGGGGAAACCCUGACCGAGCGACGCCGCGUGCGGGAUGAAGGCCUUCGGGUUGUAAACCGCUGUCGUAGAGGAGGAAAUGCAGUGGGGUUCUCCCCUCUGUUUGACCUAGUCUAGGAGGAAGGACGGGCUAAGUUCGUGCCAGCCGCCGCCGUAAUAC
rnacentral:rRNA from 1 species